ensembl:lncRNA
UUUUUUUUUUUUUUUUUUUUUUUUUUUUUGAGAUAGAGUCUCGCUCUGCUGCCCAGGCUGGAGUGCAGCAGCACAAUCUUGGCUCACUGCAACCUCCACCUCCCAGGUUCAAGCGAUUCUCUUGCCUCAGCCUCCCAAGUAGCUGGGAUUACAGGCACCCGCCAGCACGCCUGACUGAUUUUUGUAUUUUUAGUAGAGAUGGGGUUUCACUAUGUUGACCGGCUGGUUUUGAACUCCCAACAUCAGCUGAUCCACCCACCUCGGCCUCCCGAAGUGCUGGGAUUACAGGUGUAAAACACUGCACCCAGCCUACUUCACAUUAUUAAGAAAUCUAUGAAAAUAUCAUUUUAAUGGCUGUAACAUGUCAUCACACAAAAUAAUUGGAGUAUAACAGUUUCCAUCAAAUCUUAAAAUAUCAUCAAUUUUAAGUCCCACCAUUAUUUUCUGUACUACUAAGAACAAAUUCUGGCCUGGCAUGGUGGCUCUAUGCCUGUAAUCCCAGCACUUUGGGAGGCCAGGGCAGUCAGAUCACCUGAGUUCAGGAGUUCCAGACCAGCCUGGCCAACCUGUCUCUAUUAAAAAUACAAAGAUUAGCCUGGUGUGGUGGCAUGUGCCUAUAGUCCCAGCCACUUGUUGGGAGGCUGAGGCAGGAGGAUCACCUGAGUCUGGGCAGGGGAGGUUGCAGUGAGCCGAGAUCAUGCCACUGCACUCCAGCCUGGGCGACAUAGUAUUAUUAUUAUUAUUAUUAUUUGAAACAGGGUCUCACUUUGUUACUGUGCCUGGCUAAGUUUUGUAUUUUUUGUAGAGUUGGAUUUUGGCCACGUUGCCCAGGCUUGCUUCAAACUCCUCAACUCAAGCAAUCUGCCUGCCUCGGGCCCCCAAAGUGCUAGCAUUACACGUGUGAGCCACCACGCCCAGUCGUGUUAUUUAUGAUUGCAUUUCUUUUCUUUUCUUUGAGGCAGAGUCUCGCUCUGUCACCUAGGCUGGUGUGCAGUGGUGUGAUCUUGGCUCACUGCAACCUCUGCCUCUGGGGUUCAAGCCAUCCUCCCACUUCAGAGUCCUGUGUAGCUGGGAUUACAGGCGUGUGCCACCACACCCGGUUAAUUUCUCUUUUUUACUACACUUGAUCUUUGCCAAAAGGAUGAGAAGUGAUAAUUUAGUAGAGACGGGGUUUCACCAUGUUGGCCAGGUGUGUCUGGUACUCUUGACCUCAGGUGAUCAGCCCACCAUGCUCUCCCAAAGAGCUAGGAUUACAGGGUGACCCAUGACGCCCAUCUGAUAUCAUUGUUUUUUUGUUUUUUUGUUUUUUUGUUUGAGACAGAGUCUUGCUCUGUCGCCGAGGCUGGAGUGCAGUGGCGCGAUCUCCGCUCACUGCAAGCUCAACCUCCUGGGUUCGCAUCAUUCUCUUGCCUCAGCCUCCCGAGUAGCUGGGACUACAGGUGCCCGCCACCGCGUCCGGCUAAUUUUUUUUGUAUUUUUAGUAGAAAUGGGGUUUCAUCAUGUUAGCCAGGAUGGUCUCCAGCUCCUGACCUUGUGAUCUGCCCGUCUCGGCCUCCCAAAGUGCCGGGAUUACAGGGGACGCUAGACAAUCUGCGACUGAUCAGCUUCGGCCGGUUUGGUGAUAAAGGGGAGACAGGCCCGCGGCGAGUGGGAACGCCUGAAGGCCGUGCCUCUCCUUUCAGGUGGGCCAGGGGCAAGCCGGUAAGAGCCUGGGGCAAGGGAUAGAAAGAGGACCACCUCAUCACAACCCAGAGCUCGGGACUCCUAUGCAGUCCCAUAGGGAACAGGCGGCCGCCAUUCCCCUCCCCCACGCUGGCGGGUAAGGCUAGAGAACGGUUUCUUUUUUUCUUUUUUUUUUUUGAGACGGAGUCUU